rnacentral:rRNA from 1 species
AUUGAACGCUGGCGGCAUGUCUUACACAUGCAAGUCGAACGGCAGCACGGGAGCAAUCCUGGUGGCGAGUGGCGAACGGGUGAGUAAUAUAUCGGAACGUGCCCGGUCGUGGGGAUAACGUAGCGAAAGCUACGCUAAUACCGCAUACGAUCUACGGAUGAAAGCGGGGGAUCGCAAGACCUCGCGCGAUUGGAGCGGCCGAUAUCAGAUUAGGUAGUUGGUGAGGUAAAGGCUCACCAAGCCGACGAUCUGUAGCUGGUCUGAGAGGACGACCAGCCACACUGGGACUGAGACACGGCCCAGACUCCUACGGGAGGCAGCAGUGGGGAAUUUUGGACAAUGGGCGCAAGCCUGAUCCAGCAAUGCCGCGUGCAGGAUGAAGG